AGUCCUUCUGGCUAUACAGUGUGAAGAUCUGAAGGAAAAUAUCUUCAUAGCUGUGUGAACAAUGUGGAAUUAACUGUAAGGUUAAAUAUUUUGAGAGAAAGGUUUAUUUUUUUAGGUCCAUCCUGGAUUAACCAACUAGACUCAAAUAGAUGCAGUGUCUUUUGCUGUAUGUAAAGUCAAAUCUGUAAUUUGAAGUGAUUCAUAUUGUAUGUGCAGUCAUUUUUUGCUAUCUUGAGGCCUAGAUGAUGCAGUCAGAAGGACUAUCACAAAAGUAUUUGGGAAAUGAAAGUUUCCUACAGUAUCUCUGUUUAAAGCUGUUCUGUAUUGUUGUGUAUUUUAAAAAGCUCUAUAAAUGUCCAUGUAAAUGUUCAUUUUGCUUGUAGUUCUGUGUUAAUAAAAAUAUAAUGCAUUA